rnacentral:rRNA from 1 species
UACGUAGGUGGCAAGCGUUGUCCGGAUUUAUUGGGUUUAAAGGGUGCGUAGGCGGCUUUGUAAGUCAGUGGUGAAAUAUGGCAGCUCAACUGUCAAGGUGCCAUUGAUACUGCGGAGCUUGAGUACAGAUGAGGUAGGCGGAAUUGACGGUGUAGCGGUGAAAUGCUUAGAUAUCGUCAAGAACACCGAUAGUGAAGACAGCUCACUAAGCUCAAACUGACGCUGAGGCACGAAAGUGUGGGGAUCAAACAGG